rnacentral:tRNA from 1 species
UAGGGAGAAAGUGUAAGUGGACGCACGUCGGUCUCCAAAACCGAAAGGAUAGUUGGGUUCGAUUCCCCGUCUCCCUGA